CUUCGUAGCCGCUCGUCUGGCGGCUUCCUGGUUACUUUUGUCUGAUUGGUCUUCAUUGCAGUCACUCAGACCUGAGGUCACAUCAGAGGCACAGCUACACGACAGGAAGUGAAGAGACAGAAGACGGUGAGGUGAAGCCGCUGACUGAUCCAGACGACUGUCUCUCAGCAGCCUUGGACACAGCGAUGCUCUGGAGACAAACACAAACAGAAGUGCCUGCUCACCUUGGGGAAACGCAGCACAGGGAGGGGCGGAGCUUUGGAUGGAGUCCAGGUCACAUGGCGAGGUGUUGCCAGAGCCGGGGCGGGGACUGAAGGGAGGG